CACGUAGGGGCCAAGCGUUGUCCGGAUUUAUUGGGCGUAAAGAGCUCGUAGGCGGUUCAGCAAGUCGGGUGUGAAAACUCUGGGCUCAACCCAGAGACGCCACCCGAUACUGCUGUGACUAGAGUCCGGUAGGGGAGUGGGGAAUUCCUGGUGUAGCGGUGAAAUGCAUUGAGAUCGGAAAGAACACCAACGGCGAAAGCACUCUGCUGGGCCGACACUGACACUGAGAGACGAAAGCUAGGGGAGCAAAUGGG
rnacentral:rRNA from 1 species